AGAUUGAACGCUGGCGGCAGGCCUAACACAUGCAAGUCGAGCGGUAGAGAGGUGCUUGCACCUCUUGAGAGCGGCGGACGGGUGAGUAAUGCCUAGGAAUCUGCCUAGUGGUGGGGGAUAACGUUCGGAAACGGACGCUAAUACCGCAUACGUCCUACGGGAGAAAGCGGGGGACCUUCGGGCCUCGCGCCAUUAGAUGAGCCUAGGUCGGAUUAGCUAGUUGGUGAGGUAAUGGCUCACCAAGGCGACGAUCCGUAACUGGUCUGAGAGGAUGAUCAGUCACACUGGAACUGAGACACGGUCCAGACUCCUACGGGAGGCAGCAGUGGGAAUAUUGGACAAUGGGCGAAAGCCUGAUCCAGCCAUGCCGCGUGUGUGAAGAAGGUCUUCGGAUUGUAAAGCACUUUAAGUUGGAGAAGGUUGUAACUUAAUACGUUGCAACUUUGACGUUACGACAGAAUAAGCACGGCUAACUUCGUGCCAGCAGCCG
rnacentral:rRNA from 1 species